rnacentral:rRNA from 1 species
UGGGGAAUAUUGCGCAAUGGGGGGAACCCUGACGCAGCCAUGCCCGCGUGAAUGAAGAAGGCCUUAGGGUUGUAAAGUUCUUUCGGUAUUGAGGAAGGUUGAUGUGUUAAUAGCACAUCAAAUUGAUGUUAAAUACAGAAGAAGCACCGGCUAACUCCGUGCCAGCAGCCGCGGUAAUACGGAGGGUGCGAGCGUUAAUCGGAAUAACUGGGCGUAAAGGGCACGCAGGCGGUUAUUUAAGUGAGGUGUGAAAGCCCCGGGCUUAACCUGGGAAUUGCAUUUCAGACUGGGUAACUAGAGUACUUUAGGGAGGGGUAGAAUUCCACGUGUAGCGGUGAAAUGCGUAGAGAUGUGGAGGAAUACCGAAGGCGAAGNNNGCCCCUUGGGAAUGUACUGACGCUCAUGUGCGAAAGCGUGGGGAGCAAACAGGAUUAGAUACCCUGGUAGUCCACGCUGUAAACGCUGUCGAUUUGGGGGUUGGGGUUUAACUCUGGCGCCCGUAGCUAACGUGAUAAAUCGACCGCCUGGGGAGUACGGCCGCAAGUUA